rnacentral:rRNA from 1 species
AUUGAACGCUGGCGGCAGGCCUAACACAUGCAAGUCGAACGAGUGGCGGACGGGUGAGUAAUGUCUGGGAAUCUGGCUGAUGGAGGGGGAUAACUACGGGCAACUGUCGCUAAUACCGCAUACCAUAAGAUGAGCCCAAGUGGGAUUAGGUUGUUGGUGGGGUAACGGCCUACCAAGCCGACGAUCCCUAGCUGGUCUGAGAGGAUGACCAGCCACACUGGUACUGAGACACGGGCCAGACUCCUACGGGAGGCAGCAGUGGGGAAUAUUGCGCAAUGGGCGCAAGCCUGAUGCAGCCAUGCCGCGUGUAUGAAGAAGGCCUUCGGGUUGUAAAGUACUUUCGGCGGGGAGGCGUUACCCGCAGAAGAAGCACCGGCUAACUCCGUGCCAGCCGCCGCGGUAAUUG